UACGUAGGGACCAAGCGUUGUUCGGAUUUACUGGGCGUAAAGGGCGCGUAGGCGGCCCGCUAAGUCGAACGUGAAAUCCCCGGGCUCAACCUGGGAACUGCAUCCGAGACUGCAUUGCUAGAGUAUGGGAGAGGGAAGCGGAAUUUCUGGUGUAGCAGUGAAAAGCGUAGAUAUCAGAAGGAACAUCAGUGGCGAAGGCGGCUUCCUGGACCAAUACUGACGAUCAGGUGCGAAAGCGUGGGGAGCAAACAGG
rnacentral:rRNA from 1 species